rnacentral:rRNA from 1 species
UACGUAGGGAGCAAGCGUUGUCCGGAAUUAUUGGGCGUAAAGAGCUUGUAGGCGGUUUGUCGCGUCUGCUGUGAAAUUUCGGGGCUCAACCCCGAACUUGCAGUGGGUACGGGCAGACUAGAGUGUGGUAGGGGAGACUGGAAUUCCUGGUGUAGCGGUGAAAUGCGCAGAUAUCAGGAGGAACACCGAUGGCGAAGGCAGGUCUCUGGGCCACUACUGACGCUGAGAAGCGAAAGCAUGGGGAGCGAACAGG